ACAGCAGUAGCCGCGGUAAUACGAAGGGGGCUAGCGUUGUUCGGAAUUACUGGGCGUAAAGCGCACGUAGGCGGAUUUUUAAGUCAGGGGUGAAAUCCCGAGGCUCAACCUCGGAACUGCCUUUGAUACUGGGCGACUAGAGUGCGGUAGAGGAUAGUGGAAUUUCCGGUGUAGCAGUGAAAUGCGUAGAGAUCGGAAGGAACAUCUGUGGCGAAGGCGACUAUCUGGGCCAACACUGACACUGAGACACGAAAGCGUGGGGACCAAACAGGAUUAGAUACCCCGGUAGUCCCUGUCUCUUAUAU
rnacentral:rRNA from 1 species